rnacentral:rRNA from 1 species
CUACGGGAGGCAGCAGUGGGGAAUAUUGGACAAUGGGCGCAAGCCUGAUCCAGCAAUGCCGCGUGAGUGAUGAAGGCCUUCGGGUUGUAAAGCUCUUUCGCACGCGACGAUGAUGACGGUAGCGUGAGAAGAAGCCCCGGCUAACUUCGUGCCAGCAGCCGCGGUAAUACGAAGGGGGCUAGCGUUGUUCGGAAUUACUGGGCGUAAAGGGCGCGUAGGCGGUACUUCAAGUCAGGCGUGAAAGCCCCGGGCUCAACCUGGGAACCGCGCUUGAGACUGGAGAACUCGAGUUCGGGAGAGGAUGGUGGAAUUCCCAGUGUAGAGGUGAAAUUCGUAGAUAUUGGGAAGAACACCGAUGGCGAAGGCAGCCAUCUGGACCGACACUGACGCUGAGGCGCGAAAGCGUGGGGAGCAAACAGGAUUAGAUACCCUGGUAGUCCACGCCGUAAACGAUGAGUGCUAGACGUUGGGGCCCUUAGGGCUUCGGUGUCGCAGCUAACGCAUUAAGCACUCCGCCUGGNGAGUACGGCCGCAAGGUUAAAACUC